GUUACUUUUCCGGGGCUGGAUUUAGGACUUAGUAAGAGAACUGGAUCAUAGCUCUCCAAGAUAGGGACCAAGAAGUUGGGGACAGAGCCUGUUACUUGGAUGGAGACACUGGACCAAAAUAAGAGGUGAAACUCAAAAAAGCGUUGGGGCUACUAGGCGGAAAAGGCAGGCUUGGAAGGCCGAGAACAGGAACUUGUCUGCUGGCCCUAACCCUAGCCCCACCAGGCCCACACCUUGACUGGUUGUCCGUUUCUCGUCCGUAAGAGGCUUUGGUCGUCCGCCUCGAUGCCAAAAGCCAUAAAGGGCCCCGUGGCGAUGUCCCCCCAGUAUCCGCGCGCAGCCACGCGUUCCCCACGCUGGAAAAAAACCAAAGCCUAGCAAGCCUGGCUGUGACCAUCCACCACCGCUUGAGCGGAGCCACCUGCUGUGCUGCUCCUUUGAUGUGCCACUACCUGCCUGAGGCUCAACCUGCCUGAGGCUCAACCUGCCAGGGGCCAAACCGGUUCUCUUCCAAGAAUCUUCUGGAGUUAACACCGAACUGCGAUCUUUGCGAGUUCCCACUAAAAGGUUGACCUAUCUACUUCAAAGGAACUUUGCUUGGCCACGGACAGGCCUCCCCUUUUCUUUAUAGAGCGUGUUUGCUGACAUUAAAAUUGAACCUUGAGC
rnacentral:lncRNA from 1 species